GGUGGCUCAAGUGGUAGAGCGUUUGCCUUGCAUGCAUGAGACCCUGGGUUCGAUUCCUCAGCACCA
rnacentral:tRNA from 1 species